GACGAACGCUGGCGGCGCGCUUAACACAUGCAAGUCGAACGGAAAGGCCUGCUUUCCCUUGUGGAUUGCGGGUACUCGAGUGGCGAACGGGUGAGUAACACGUGAGUGAUCUGCCCCCAACUUGGGUAUAAGCCUGGGAAACUGGGUCUAAUUCCCGAUAGGACUGCAGGGUGGUGCCUGUGGUGGAAAACGAUUUUCUAGUGGUUGGGGAUGAGCUCGCGGCCUAUCGGCUUGUUGGUGGGGUAAUGGCCUACCAAGGCGGCGACGGGUAGCCGGCCUGAGAGGGUGGACGGCCACAUUGGGACUGAGAUACGGCCCAGACUCCUACGGGAGGCAGCAGUGGGGAAUAUUACACAAUGGGCGGAAGCCUGAUGCAGCGACGCCGCGUGGGGGAUGACGGCCUUCGGGUUGUAAACUCCUUUCGACCGCGAGGAAGCCACCUGGUUGGAAGGGUGGUGACGGUAGUGGUAGAAGAAGCACCGGCUAACUACGUG
rnacentral:rRNA from 1 species